rnacentral:rRNA from 1 species
GACGAACGCUGGCGGCGUGCCUAAUACAUGCAAGUCGAGCGAAGUUUUUCUGUUGCUUGCACCGGAAAAACUUAGCGGCGAACGGGUGAGUAACACGUAAAGAACCUGCCUCAUAGACUGGGACAACUAUUGGAAACGAUAGCUAAUACCGGAUAACAGCAUUAACUGCAUGGUUGAUGUUUAAAAGUUGGUUUUGCUAACACUAUGAGAUGGCUUUGCGGUGCAUUAGCUAGGUGGUGGGGCAAAGGCCUACCAAGGCGACGAUGCAUAGCCGACCUGAGAGGGUGAUCGGCCACACUGGGACUGAGACACGGCCCAGACUCCUACGGGAGGCAGCAGUAGGGAAUCUUCCGCAAUGGGCGAAAGCCUGACGGAGCAACGCCGCGUGAGUGAAGAAGGAUUUCGGUUCGUAAAGCUCUGUUGUUAGGGAAGACUGAUUGUGUAGUAACUAUACACAGUAGAGACGGUACCUAACCAGAAAGCCACGGCUAACUACGUG